AGUUUAUGAAGAGACACUGCGUUCUUACACAGAGGACUUUUCACUGCAGAACUCAGAAAUAUAAAGUGGACUGACACCGGGUCAGACUGAACUUUUCAUUUUGCAUUCAGAAGUCGGAGUAAGAAAAGGUGCAACAUUAAAGUUGGUGCUUGGGAAAAAAAGG